CGUACGUCGUACGUAGUAGGUACGUUUAGGUACUCGUCGGCUACGAGGACGACGCUGGCGGCGUGCUUAACACAUGCAAGUCGAACGAUGAAGCCUAGCUUGCUAGGUGGAUUAGUGGCGAACGGGUGAGUAAUACGUGAGUAACCUACCUUUAACUCUGGGAUAAGCCUGGGAAACUGGGUCUAAUACCGGAUACGACCAAUCUCCGCAUGGGGUGUUGGUGGAAAGCGUUAUGUAGUGGUUAUAGAUGGGCUCACGGCCUAUCAGCUUGUUGGUGAGGUAACGGCUCACCAAGGCGACGACGGGUAGCCGGCCUGAGAGGGUGACCGGCCACACUGGGACUGAGACACGGCCCAGACUCCUACGGGAGGCAGCAGUGGGGAAUAUUGCACAAUGGGCGCAAGCCUGAUGCAGCGACGCCGCGUGAGGGAUGACGGCCUUCGGGUUGUAAACCUCUGUUGGCAGGGAAGAAGAGAGAUUGACGGUACCUGCAGAGAAAGCGCCGGCUAACUACGUG
rnacentral:rRNA from 1 species